GUCUCUGUGGCUCAGUCGGUAGAGCGUUGGUCUCAUAUCAUUAUUCGAAUAUGACUCUAUCCUCAGAUAGGGACAUCCAAAGGUCGCAAGUUCGAGCCUUGCCAGGGACA
rfam:Colletotrichum higginsianum, IMI 349063, WGS project CACQ02000000 data, contig: cont1.5745